rnacentral:rRNA from 1 species
ACUCCUACGGGAGGCAGCAGUGGGGAAUAUUUGCACAAUGGGGCGCAAGCCUGAUGCAGCCAUGCCGCGUGUGUAGCAAGAAUGGGCCUUCGGGUUGAUAAAGCACUUUCAGUCGUGAGGAAGGUAGUGUAGUUAAUAGCCGCAUUUUAAUUGGUCGUUAGCGACAGAAGAAGCACCGGCUAACUCCGUGCCAGCAGCCGCGGUAAUACGGAGGGUGCAGCGUUAAUCGGAAUUACUGGGCGUAAAGCGCAUGCAGGUGGUUUGUUAAGUCAGAUGUGAAAGCCCGGGGCUCAACCUCGGAAUUGCAUUUGAAACUGGC